rnacentral:rRNA from 1 species
UGCANUGGAGGAACUCUGAUGCAGCGACGCCGCGUGAGCGAUGAAGCCCUUCGGGGUGUAAAGCUCUUUCGUCAGGGAAGAUGAUGACGGUACCUGGAGAAGCAGCUGCGGCUAACUACGUGCCAGCAGCCGCGGUAAUACGUAGGCAGCAAGCGUUGUUCGGAGUUACUGGGCGUAAAGGGUGUGUAGGCGGUUACUUAAGUUUGGUGUGAAAUCUCCCGGCUCAACUGGGAGGGUGCGCCGAAUACUGAGUGACUAGAGUGCGGGAGAGGAAAGUGGAAUUCCUGGUGUAGCGGUGAAAUGCGUAGAUAUCAGGAGGAACACCGGCGGUGUAGACGGCUUUCUGGACCGUAACUGACGCUGAGACACGAAAGCGUGGGUAGCAAACAGGAUUAGAUACCCUGGUAGUCCACGCCCUAAACGAUGCAUAUUUGGUGUGGGCAGUUCAUUCUGUCCGUGCCGGAGCUAACGCGUUAAAUAUGCCGCCUGGGGAGUACAGUCGCAAGGCUGAAACUCAAAGAAAUUGACGGA